AAACUUUUCUGUCUCAGUGCUCAGGCCGAGCAAAGUAGUCUAUGCCUUGGCUCUGUCUCUGCUCCUCAGUCUCUCUCUCCUGCUCCUCUGUCUCUCUCUCCUGCUCCUCAGUCUCUCUCUCCU